GAGGAAUAUUGGUCAAUGGGCGAGAGCCUGAACCAGCCAAGUAGCGUGCAGGAUGACGGCCCUAUGGGUUGUAAACUGCUUUUGUAUGGGGAUAAAGUCAAUCACGUGUGAUUGUUUGCAGGUACCAUACGAAUAAGGACCGGCUAAUUCCGUGCCAGCAGCCGCGGUAAUACGGAAGGUCCGGGCGUUAUCCGGAUUUAUUGGGUUUAAAGGGAGCGUAGGCUGGAGAUUAAGUGUGUUGUGAAAUGUAGACGCUCAACGUCUGACUUGCAGCGCAUACUGGUUUCCUUGAGUACGCACAACGUUGGCGGAAUUCGUCGUGUAGCGGUGAAAUGCUUAGAUAUGACGAAGAACUCCGAUUGCGAAGGCAGCUGACGGGAGCGCAACUGACGCUGAAGCUCGAAGGUGCGGGUAUCGAACAGGAUUAGAUACCCUGGUAGUCCGCACAGUAAACGAUGGAUGCCCGCUGUUGGUACCUGGUAUCAGCGACUAAGCGAAAGCAUUAAGCAUCCCACCUGGGGAGUACGCCGGCAACGGUG
rnacentral:rRNA from 1 species